rnacentral:rRNA from 1 species
AACGAAGGGGGCUAGCGUUGCUCGGAAUUACUGGGCGUAAAGGGCGCGUAGGCGGACAGUUAAGUCAGAGGUGAAAGCCCAGGGCUCAACCCUGGAAUUGCCUUUGAUACUGGCUGUCUUGAGUAUGGGAGAGGUGAGUGGAACUCCGAGUGUAGAGGUGAAAUUCGUAGAUAUUCGGAAGAACACCAGUGGCGAAGGCGACUCACUGGCCCAUUACUGACGCUGAGGCGCGAAAGCGUGGGGAGCAAACAGG